rnacentral:rRNA from 1 species
GAUGAACGCUGGCGGCGUGCCUAAUACAUGCAAGUCGAGCGAACAGACGAGGUGCUUGCUCCUCUGACGUUAGCGGCGGACGGGUGAGUAACACGUGGAUAACCUAUCUAUAAGACUGGGAUAACUUCGGGAAACCGGAGCUAAUACCGGAUAACAUGUUGAAUCGCAUGGUUCAACAGUGAAAGACGGUCUUGCUGUCACUUAUAGAUGGAUCCGCGCCGCAUUAGCUAGUUGGUAAGGUAACGGCUUACCAAGGCAACGAUGCGUAGCCGACCUGAGAGGGUGAUCGGCCACACUGGAACUGAGACACGGUCCAGACUCCUACGGGAGGCAGCAGUAGGGAAUCUUCCGCAAUGGGCGAAAGCCUGACGGAGCAACACCGCGUGAGUGAAGAAGGUCUUCGGAUCGUAAAACUCUGUUAUUAGGGAAGAACAAAUGUGUAAGUAACGAUGCACGUCUUGACGGUACCUAGUCAGAAAGCCACGGCUAACUACGUG